rnacentral:rRNA from 1 species
GCGCAGCAGGCGAGAAACUUCGCAAUGCGCGAAAGCGCGACGAGGGGAUUCCAAGUGCAUGCACUAAGUGUAUGCUUUUCGUGAGUUUAAAACGCUCACGGAAUAAGGGCUGGGUAAGACUGGUGCCAGCCGCCGCGGUAAUACCAGCGGCCCUAGUGGUGAUCGUUAUUAUUGGGCCUAAAGCGUCCGUAGCCGGUCCGGUAAAUCUCUGGGUAAAUCGUUGGGCUUAACUCAGCGAAUUCUGGGGAGACUGCUGGACUUGGGGACCGGGAGAGGUCGGAGGUACUCCAGGGGUAGGGGUGAAAUCCUGUAAUCCUUGGGGGACCACCGGUGGCGAAGGCGUCCGACCAGAACGGGUCCGACGGUAAGGGACGAAGCCCUGGGGCGCGAACCGGGAUUAGAUACCCCUGUAGU